GUGUCAGCAGCCGCGGUAAUACGUAGGGGGCGAGCGUUGUCCGGAUUUACUGGGCGUAAAGAGCGCGUAGGCGGCCUAUUAGGUCGGCUGUGAAAUCUCUGGGCCCAACCCAGAGGGGUCGGCCGAGACCGGUAGGCUCGAGGGUGGUAGAGGAAGGUGGAAUUCCGGGUGUAGUGGUGAAAUGCGUAGAGAUCCGGAGGAACACCAGUGGCGAAGGCGGCCUUCUGGGCCAUACCUGACGCUGAGGCGCGAAAGCGUGGGGAGCGAACCGAAUUAGAUACCCCAGUAGUCC
rnacentral:rRNA from 1 species